rnacentral:rRNA from 1 species
UACGAGGGGGGCGAGCGUUGUUCGGAAUUAUUGGGCGUAAAGGGUGCGUAGGCGGUUUGGUAAGUCUUAUGUGAAAUCUAUGGGCUCAACUCAUAGUCUGCAUAAGAAACUGCCGGGCUUGAGUAUGGGAGAGGUGAGUGGAAUUCCUGGUGUAGCGGUGAAAUGCGUAGAUAUCAGGAGGAACACCUGUGGCGAAAGCGGCUCACUGGACCAUAACUGACGCUGAUGCACGAAAGCUAGGGGAGCAAACAGG